rnacentral:piRNA from 1 species
CAGGUCUUCUGUUUCUUACUGAGGCAUGGC